rnacentral:rRNA from 1 species
UACGUAGGUGACAAGCGUUGUCCGGAUUUACUGGGCGUAAAGAGCGCGCAGGCGGUCGUUCAAGUCGAGUGUGAAAGCCCCCGGCUCAACUGGGGAGGGUCACUCGAUACUGAUCGACUCGAAGGCAGGAGAGGGUAGUGGAAUUCCCGGUGUAGUGGUGAAAUGCGUAGAUAUCGGGAGGAACACCAGUGGCGAAGGCGACUACCUGGCCUGUCCUUGACGCUGAGGCGCGAAAGCUAGGGGAGCAAACGGG